rnacentral:rRNA from 1 species
AUGCGGCCUCUGGACGAACAGUUCGUGGUCAUCUACCUAGAUGACCCCACGACCACCAAUCCCGCGCCUCCUCCGUCCAGUUUUGAAGCUGGAUCCUCGUCGAGUAGAGCCGCACCGAGCAGAGGCGCAUCCGUGGCCAGCAGAGCCAUGGCCACGACGACCACACCAUCGGGGACAAACACGGAGACGUCGUGUCACGACGGCGUGGAGCGGGAGGUCGUCAUGCCACGAUUGCCAUCACCUGCAUCCACAGAGGAUGGCUGGGCCACACCUCCUGACGAUGACUACGAGCGCCACGACCUCGAUCACUCACCACAGAAGUAUCGCAAGAUGCGGCAUGUGCUCAGGCAGCUGGAUGAGGAUCGGGGGGAGCUCGUGCAGCUCUGCCUCAUUGCGGCGGAGGAACCAGAUGGCGUCGACAAGGCGCUGUCCGAGGGGUGCUGGAAGGAGGCCAUGGACGCUGAACUUGCCGCGAUCCACGACAACAGCACCUGGGAGAUGGCAGCGCUCCCACCUGGACACAGAGCCAUUGGGCUCAAAUGGGUGUACAAGGUAAAGAAGGACCCUGCAGGUCACAUUGUGAAUCACAAAGCGCGACUCGUGGCGAAAGGCUACGCGCAACGGCAAGGCGUGGACUACGACAAGGUGUUCGCGCCGGUGGCGUGCAUGGAGACCGUGCUUCUGCUCCUGGCGCUCGCCGCGCACCAUGGGUGGGCGGUGCACCACACGGACGUCAAGAGCGCUUUCCUGAACGACGACCUGCAGGAGGAGGUGUACGUUCAUCAGCCUCCAGGGUACGUCAAUGACAAGAACAGGCACGGUGUGAUGCGGCUGCGCAAGGCGCUGUACAGGCUGCGGCAGGCACCACAUGCCUGGAACGCCAAGCUGGACUCGACGCUCACCUCGCUUGGGUUCGAGCGCAACCCACUCGAGCACGCUGUGUAUAGGAGAAACACCCGUGCCUCGACUCUCAUCAUCAGCGUGUACGUGGAUGAUCUGGUGAUCACCGGGUCUGACACGGGCGACAUCGACAAGUUCAAGGAGGAGAUGAAGUGCAAGUUCGCCAUGAGUGAUCUUGGACUUCUAUCUUACUACCUCGGUAUCGAGGUGGUUCAGAGAGGUGAUUCGAUCACUCUCUGCCAGAGCGCCUACGUGGGCAAGAUCAUCGCCGCGGCCGGCAUGGUCGGCUGCAACGCAACGCACACGCCCAUGAGAGCAGGCUGCCACUGCGCAAGCGGGACUCAGGGGGAGUCAUCGAUGCGACGCUCUAUCGGAGCAUCGUGGGCAGCCUCCGCUACCUCUGCAACACACGUCCCGACAUCACGUUUGUUGUCGGCAUGGUGA